UACGUAGGUGGCUAGCGUUGUCCGGAUUUACUGGGCGUAAAGAGCGUGUAGGCGGCCAGGCAGGUCCGCUGUGAAAACUCGAGGCUCAACCUCGAGAGGUCGGUGGAAACCGUCUGGCUAGAGUCCGGAAGAGGAGAGUGGAAUUCCCGGUGUAGCGGUGAAAUGCGCAGAUAUCGGGAAGAACACCCGUGGCGAAGGCGGCUCUCUGGGACGGUACUGACGCUGAGACGCGAAAGCGUGGGGAGCGAACAGG
rnacentral:rRNA from 1 species